UAGGGAAUCUUCCACAAUGGGCGCAAGCCUGAUGGAGCAACACCGCGUGAGUGAAGAAGGGUUUCGGAUCGUAAAGCUCUGUUGUAAGUCAAGAACGAGUGUGAGAGUGGAAAGUUCACACUGUGACGGUAGCUUACCAGAAAGGGACGGCUAACUACGUGCCAGCAGCCGCGGUAAUACGUAGGCCCCGAGCGUUGUCCGGAUUUAUUGGGCGUAAAGCGAGCGCAGGCGGUUUGAUAAGUCUGAAGUUAAAGGCUGUGGCUCAACCAUAGUUCGCUUUGGAAACUGUCAAACUUGAGUGCAGAAGGGGAGAGUGGAAUUCCAUGUGUAGCGGUGAAAUGCGUAGAUAUAUGGAGGAACACCGGUGGCGAAAGCGGCUCUCUGGUCUGUAACUGACGCUGAGGCUCGAAAGCGUGGGGAGCGAACAGGAUUAGAUACCCUGGUAGUCCACGCCGUAACGAUGAGUGCUAGGUGUUGGAUCCUUUCCGGGAUUCAGUGCCGCAGCUAACGCAUUAAGCACUCCGCCUGGGGAGUACGACCGCAAGGUU
rnacentral:rRNA from 1 species